rnacentral:rRNA from 1 species
CCAGCAGCCGCGGUAAUACGUAGGUGGCAAGCGUUGUCCGGAAUUAUUGGGCGUAAAGCGCGCGCAGGCGGAUAGGUCAGUCUGUCUUAAAAGUUCGGGGCUUAACCCCGUGAUGGGAUGGAAACUGCCAAUCUAGAGUAUCGGAGAGGAAAGUGGAAUUCCUAGUGUAGCGGUGAAAUGCGUAGAUAUUAGGAAGAACACCAGUGGCGAAGGCGACUUUCUGGACGAAAACUGACGCUGAGGCGCGAAAGCCAGGGGAGCGAACGGGAUUAGAUACCCCGGUAGUCCUGGCCGUAAACGAUGGGUACUAGGUGUAGGAGGUAUCGACCCCUUCUGUGCCGGAGUUAACGCAAUAAGUACCCCGCCUGGGGAGUACGACCGCAAGGUUGAAACUCAAAGGAAUUGACGGGGGCCCGCACAAG